CGCGUAGGCGGCCAAUUAAGUCAAAUGUGAAAUCCCCGAGCUUAACUUGGGAAUUGCAUUCGAUACUGGUUGGCUAGAGUGUGGGAGAGGAUGGUAGAAUUCCAGGUGUAGCGGUGAAAUGCGUAGAGAUCUGGAGGAAUACCGAUGGCGAAGGCAGGUUACUAUGUCUUAACUGACGCUGAUGGACGAAAGCGUGGGGAGCGAACAGGAUUAGAUACCCCGGUA
rnacentral:rRNA from 1 species